rnacentral:rRNA from 1 species
CAAUAGCGUAUAUUAAAGUUGUUGCAGUUAAAAAGCUCGUAGUUGAAUUUCUGGGCGGCCCGCCGGUCUUCCAUGUGUUGUACUGGGCGGCGCCGGCCAUCCUUGUGGAGAGGGCUCGCAUUUGGUUGCGUGUCGGAUCUGCAUCAUUUACUGUGAAAAAAUUAGAGUGUUUAAAGCAGGCUGUCGCUUGAAUACAUUAGCAUGGAAUAAUAAGAUAGGACUUCGGUCUAUUUUGUUGGUUGCGAACCGAGGUAAUGAUUAAUAGGGAUAGUUGGGGGUAUUCAUAUUUAAUUGUCAGAGGUGAAAUUCUUGGAUUUAUGAAAGAUGAACAACUGCGAAAGCAUUUACCAAGGAUGUUUUCAUCAA